GCAUAUCAAUAAGCGGAGGAAAAGAAACCAACAGGGAUUGCCCUAGUAACGGCGAGUGAAGCGGCAACAGCUCAAAUUUGAAACCUGGCGCUUGCGUCCGGAUUGUAAUUUGUAGAGGAUGCUUCUGGGCAGCGGCCGGUCUAAGUUCCUUGGAACAGGACGUCACAGAGGGUGAGAAUCCCGUAUGUGAUCGGCGCGCACCCUCCACGUAGCUCCUUCGACGAGUCGAGUUGUUUGGGAAUGCAGCUCUAAAUGGGAGGUAAAUUUCUUCUAAAGCUAAAUAUUGGCCCGAGACCGAUAGCGCACAAGUAGAGUGAUCGAAAGAUGAAAAGCACUUUGGAAAGAGAGUUAAAAAGCACGUGAAAUUGUUGAAAGGGAAGCGCUUCCCACCAGACUCCGCGGCGGUGUUCCGCCGGUCUUCUGACCGGUCUACUCGCCGCCGUGGGGCCAGCAUCGUCUGGGGCCGCCGGAUAAGACCGCAGGAAUGUAGCUCAUUGAGUGUUAUAGCCUGCGGGGAUGCGGCGCGCCCCGGGCGAGGUCCGCGCUUCGGCAAGGAUGCUGGCGUAAUGGUGGGCAGCGGCCCGUCUUGAAACACGGACCAAGGAGUCUAACAUCUAUGCGAGUGUUCGGGUGUCAAACCCCUACGCGUAAUGAAAGUGAACGGAGGUGGGAGCUUCGGCGCACCAUCGACCGAUCCUGAUGUCCUCGGAUGGAUUUGAGUAAGAGCAUAGCUGUUGGGACCCGAAAGAUGGUGAACUAUGCCUGAAUAGGGUGAAGCCAGAGGAAACUCUGGUGGAGGCUCGCAGCGGUUCUGACGUGCAAAUCGAUCGUCAAAUUUGGGCAUAGGGGCGAAAGACUAAUC
rnacentral:rRNA from 1 species